AGGUCCUGCUUGUACCACUGCCAGAGAUUCAGGGCAAAGUCCCCCUAAGGAGUCAGGGCCUGGAGUCGUGUGAAUCAGAGAGCAGGUUGGGUUGGAGUAACAGUGGCACCAAGCAUCAGGGCAGCCUUGCCCCUCACCUCUCUGUGGUCCACUUCCUCCUGCCCGCCUGCAGUUUGUGGACACCCCGGGGAACCUGCCCCCAUCCAUGAACCUGUCCUACCUUCUUGGCCUGAGGAAGAACAUCAGCGUCUUCCAGGCCUAUCGACAGUGUAAGGCAGGGACAGCACUCUGGAAGGUUCUACAGCUCAAUGACUCCUAUGACCUGGAUAAGCACCUGGAUAUCAAACAGGCAAGGAAAUGUUUCAGAAAACUGCACAUCCCUUUCUUCUGUUCUUCUGGGACACUGUCUCUGAACU
rnacentral:lncRNA from 1 species